UGUGACUAAUGGGUUAACAAAUUGUAAUUUCCUUUAAAUACUAUUCUGCCAAAUUUAAUGCAAGAUUAUAAUAAAAUUAUAUUAUGUGCAAGGUGUCCCCUACUGUGAUAUCAAAUAAAUAUGUGUAUAACUUUAUGUCUAUUAAAAAGUGGUUUUGUGGUAUUUUAAAUUAAUUUGCAUGUGUAUGAAUAAAGUGCAAGUUGUGCAUGAGGUGAUUGUGUACUUGUAUAUUAAUAGUACUAGUAUUAUUUCCCCUAAUAGGUUUAAAAUUCAUGAUUUAUUUAUUUUAAUUUUUUAAUUUUAAUUUUUUUAUAUUAUUUAUUAUAAAAAGAAGUGAAAAAUGUGCAAAAAAUAAAAAACGCUAAGUGACAAACAACAAAUUGUGAAAAAACUUUAAUGUACUUGAAGAAUUAUUAAUAAAAAUAUUUAGAUUAAGUAACAAUAAAAGAUUAUAUAGGGGCAUUGAAGCCCCAAACGUUUAUGAUGUAAGUUUAAAUAUCAAUAUAUCAGUCUCCUUGUGUAUCUUAUAAAUGUUUGUGCAUUCUCAUAUAUAUCUACACCCACAUAUGUGUAUAGAUUCAACAAUAUCUAUUGGGUCUUUUACAGAUAAGAAGUUAUUGUUUUCAUUCAAUCCGUAGGGUUGAAGAGAGUUAAGAAGAUAAAUCCAACGACUCUCUGCUCGCAGAAGUUGUUGUUCAAUAUCACCCCCUCUGAUUCCUAGUUUUACUGUCUGUAUCCCAAAACAGCGGAAAUUAGAGGUCUUGGAUCUAUGUAUUUUGUGGAAAUGGGAUGCAACUGUUGUAAUAAUUUUCUUAUCUUUUAAAUCUUUGUCGGCAUUUCUGAUGUUGCUCAAGUGUUCCAACAUCCGAGUUCUAAAUUUACGUGUGGUCAUACCAACGUAUAAUUUAUUACAACUACAGGUAAUUCCAUAAAUUACAGAUUCCGUGUUGCAAUUAAUGUGAGAAUUGAUGGUAUGGGUUUGAUUACAGAUUCCGUGUUGCAAUUAAUGUGAGAAUUGAUGGUAUGGGUUUGAUUAAAUCUAUCAGAUACUGACAUACUGAGCAGUUUAUGCACUUAAAAUUUCCUAGCGCAAUGGGGUUUAGUUUACGUUUCCUUUUUUCAAAAUGACUGGGGCUUAGAAGAUCUUUAAGAUUAUUUGAUCUUCUAUAUCCCACUUGAAUUUUAUCCCCCACAAUAUCUUUCAGUAUCGGGUCCGACUUGAGUAUCCCUAAAUGUUUAUUCAAGAUAUUAACCACCUCUUUCACUUGUGGUGAGUAGGCUACAAUGAUUCUGGUGGUAUCAUCUUUAGCCUUUUUAUUUUUGUACAGUAAUUGCUUUCUAUCGGUCUUUUCAGCUCUCUGUCUAGCUUUUUUAUUGACCGAUUACUGUACCCUCUUGCUUGUAGUUGAGUUUGUAAUUCACUUGCUCUCUGUUUGUACAAUUUUGGGUCGGAGCAAUUCCUUUUCAUUCAGAGAAAUUGUCCAAUUGGAAGAGAUCUUACAGUGUGGGGGCAGUGGGCACUAUCCGAAUGGAGAAGACUGUUCAUAGCUGUUUCUUUUCGGUAAACAUCUGUAAUAAUUUCUCCAUCCUGGUUUUUGAUGAUUUUUAGGUCUAAGAAAGUUAUACUUUCUUUGCUUUGCUCCCACAAGUUUGAUGUUAUGGGCAUUGGUGUUUAGAAUACUUAGGAAUUGAUCUAAUUUGCUUUGUGAGCCUUCCCAGAUGAAGAACACAUCAUCGAUGUAUCUUAACCACAGCGGUAUGUACUCCACAUACAUAGCAUUCACAUCUGAGAAGACGACAUGUUGCUCCCACCAGCCUAGAAAUAGAUUGGCUUAGGUGGGAGCACAUGCCGCCCCCAUUGCUGUUCCCCUGACUUGCAGGUAAAACUGCUGAUCAAAUACAAAAUAAUUGUGAUAUAGCACAAAAUUAAGGAGUCUAAUUAUGAACUCAUCGUGGCAUUUGUCUUCCUCAGAGGAUGUAGAUAGAAAACUCUGAACUGCCUGGACUCCCAAUUUGUGGUCGAUACUUGUGUAUAGGGAUUCUACGUCCGCUGUUAUCAGAAUGGUAUCAGGAUUGAGUUUGAGAUUAUCCAAUUGCUGGAGUACCUCCAUUGUGUCUUUCAUGUAAGACGGCAUAUGUGUCACAAAUUCACGGAGCCUGUAGUCGAUGUAUUGGCUUGCCUUUUCCGUAAUGUUAUUGAUCCCCAACACGAUGGGUCUUCCUGGUGGUGAGGUGGCAUUCUUGUGAAUUUUAGGUAUUAUGUAGAAAGUUGCCACCUUUGGAUUUUCUACCCAAAGGAAUUUCUUUUCUUUGGAAGUUAUUAUAUUAUCAUCCAAAGCCUUCAGUAUAAUCCGAUUGUAUUGAUUUAGAAAUUGCUCAGUUGGAUUAGAGAAUAAUUUUUUAUAGCACUCCUGGUUUCUCAAUUGUUUGUGUGCCUCCAUGAGGUACAUUUCUUUGGGCCAGAUAACCACGUUACCUCCCUUAUCCGAGUUCCUAAUUAUCACGUCAUCCCAUUGCUUCAUAUCCUUAAGAGCUUGUUCUUGUUUCGAGAGGUUCUUAGUAGUAGGCUUGAUGGGAAGUUGGGCUAUUUCUUUGCUUACUAUUUCAUUGUAAACUUCAAUGUGUUUGGAGGUCGACAUUUUUGUAACAUAUUUGGACUUAUUCCUAAUAUUUGUUCUCCAAUCUUGACUGGUUGAUUUCUCCUCACCAUCUAGUAGUUCCUCCAUUAUCUGCAAUGUAAUGUAUUGUUCAUUAGUCCAUAUGGGGUCCUGUAUGUUGUUUUCAUCUGUUGUUUCCCCAUACUUCUUGUAUUGUUUUUUUAGGAAUACUUUCCUAAGGAAUAACUGUAGAUCUUUAAUAAUUUCAAAUUUGUCUAAUUGACUAGUAGGACAGAAUGAUAGACCCUUUUGCAAGGAUGUUUUUAUGUUCACUACUUAAAAUUUUUGUAGAUAGAUUAACCACUUGCAUUAGGUCAUCCUUAUUUGGGAGAAGGGGCUCGUCGAUCUUUUGUAGGGUUUCCACCUCUUGUUGUCUUGUUUGUCUUUGUUUCUUUUUAUUUUUGGUUUUGCCCCUGCCUCCUCUCCUGGUGGUUCUCCUUGGGAAUUUGGGCCAUCCUCUAAAAAAUCUUUCCUUUUACGUGUGUCUUGUCUUGUCCUCAUUUGUGUUGAGGUAGAGGGUGUUGUUGACUCAUUAUCAGUGGUAUCUGAUUCACUGGUAUCCACUUCUGAUGCCUCACUAUUGAUUACAUGUGUCUUAGGUAAACGUGGUGUAUCUUUUUUUGGAAUAUCCUUAUUAAAUUUCCUCCCCCAUUUGUAUACUCUUUUGUUUUUAAAAUCAUUGAUAUCUCUGUUGAGUUUAGUUUGUUUGGUUGAUUUCAUUUCAGCUUCGUAUUUAUAUAACUCACUUUGAUAUUUCUUAUAUCUUGCUUCAAAUUUGUUCAAAGUCUCAUAAUUUUUGAGUUUAUCAUUUAGUUCUUUUAUUUCUGCUUCGAGUAUAUCGUAUUCAGAGGUGUCAUGUUUAAUAAGUAUCCUCAUCAAUUUAUUAGAGCAUUCAGAGAGUGCAUCCUCCCAUUCAACACUGAGGUCUGGAUUUUUAAACUGGAAAGCUGUUUGGAAUACAUACCAUGAGGUACAUCAUUAUCUAAUUGUAUUAUGCUAUACAACAUACAAUUCAAAGAGAGUAUAUUUAGCUAACUAUUAACCCGUCACCUACUGAAAAGGACAUCUUGAAACACACACAUAUAUAUAUAUAUAUAUCAAAUAGUAACUAAAGGUACACUGAGUGGAAACGGCAUUCAUUUGCGCCACCUUAUAUUAGUAUUGUAGAGAAUCACAAUACAUACAUAGAUGUACAUAACACACAUCACACAACAACAAAGCACACAUUUAUCUUUUUAAUCAUCACACAAUAAGAAUGUUGAAAAAUACAACAACACAACGAAGAUUUGGAAACUAGACAGGCAGGUUGCUAAUAUGAUUACAUCAUUCUAAGCUUCAACCAUACAGAUUACAGCAUUAGGACUGUACCACCCCUUUCAGAAGUUUCUCACUCAAUACUACAAUAUUACAUAUACGUAAACAAGAGGGUUGGAAGAUCUUCAUUAUUAUUGCGAUUUCAAUGGGACACGUAAAAUAUUGACAUCUCGCCAACCACUUAUAUAUAUAAUAUUAUAGAUGUCAGCCAUUACUUUAUUGUUUUGAAACAAUAUUGCAACAACAUUGAUCGAUCAGAUUCUAUGCCAUGUCUAUGCACACAUUAUACACAAGUAUGCGCUUUCAUUCAUGUUAGCGUGGACGUGUGCUUUUUACUAUAAGAUCGCGUUUAAGAAGUAUUUGUUACGCAUAUGAACAAACAUCACGAAGAUGAACUGUAUAUGUUAUAUUUUACACUUUCACAUUACGAUUCAUUGGGGGGGGAUACAUUUCAUCAAACACAAGAAAAUUUGCCCACUUUGAAAGCAUUUGCGCCGCUCACAUACAAUCAAGUGUAUACAAUCAGCAAUCAUUAUGAACACGCUACCAUUGGACAUUUUGCACUAUAAAUCCCCCAAACAACAUGGCCAAAGCGUCCCUUGUGAUCGACAUUGUAUCAAAUUGCUUCUGUGUGUUUGCAUACCUUGUUACUCCUUGUGUGUUUGCUCUGCUGCUUAGCUUUGUGCUGCUUGGCUUGGCAAAUAUGGAUGAUCCGCAGUUAGUUGGUGCUGGUGCUGUUGCACGAGUUGUGUACAACAGAAUCAGGCGUGCUCGGCAUUUCCGAGAGAGAUGUAGGGCUCGUCUAAUUAGAGGUACUCGUGUUGAAAGGGUGAGGCCCACCUUGGAUAACAUGAGCGACUUCGAGGUUUAUGACAAGUAUAGGCUCAAUUGCGAACAGCUCAUUAGCCUGAUCGUUUAAACUAGGACAUCCGUUCAAUUCUAGAUAUCUAGAAUUGAACGGAUGUCCCAGUUUAAACGAUCAUUUGAGAAACCACAACAGAUAUAUCAUACUAAUACAAUCAGCAUAUGAUUAAACAUAAAUUGGGACACUGGGAAACAAUGUAACUGAUCUCUAUUACAGGUGCUUAAACACUUACUAUAAGUUAACCCUAGAUAAUUACUGUAUCCAUUUGAUUUCAGUAUACAACUCAUAGCGACUUCGAGGUUUAUGACAAGUAUACGCUCAACCGUGAACAGCUCAUUAGCCUGAUCGUUUAAACUAGGACAUCCGUUCAAUUCUAGAUAUCUAGAAUUGAACGGAUGUCCCAGUUUAAACGAUCAUUUGAGAAACCACAACAGAUAUAUCAUACUAAUACAAUCAGCAUAUGAUUAAACAUAAAUUGGGAUACUGGGAAACAAUGUAACUGAUCUCUAUUACAGGCGCUUAAAAACUUACUAUAAGUUAACCCUAGAUAGUUACUGUAUCCAUUUGAUUUCAGUAUACAACUCAUUGCGGUGAUAUUAAGACCGACCAUGGUGAUACAAUUUGUAUUCAGUUAAACUAGUUACUCGGAGACAUUAUACCAGACGCUGUAAAUUAUCGCAGUAACGUUUAAAGACUAUACGCAUAUUUAGAUAUUAAUUCAUUAUACGUUGCAAUAUCAAGGCCAGUAGUAACGACUCAUACUGUAUUUAGUAAACUACUUUAUAUAGAAUAUAUAGCUGGUAUUCGAAGAACACAAAUCAUUUUCAAUUUGCAAUUGAUACAGUGUUAUACUAAGGAACUUUUCCCUCCUUUCCUUAUAAGACUUAUCACAUUUAUACAUCCUAGUGAGGAUUGGGUGAUUAUAUCACGUUGCGGUAAUAUCAAGGCCAGUAAUAGGGACAUAUACUAUCUUUAGUAAACUACUUCAUAUAUAGUUUAUAGCUGGUAAUUUAAGAACUCCAAUAUCUCUCAAUUUGUAAACAUACAUGUGGCGUCUGUUAUGUAAUAUCAUAUUUAUAUACUCUAGUGAGGAUUGUGAGAUAAUAUACUACAACGAUUAGAGUACUAAAUAACGUUACCAUAAGACAGAAUCAAGUGUUGAUACAAAUACCUAACAAAGUCGAACUCGUUGAACGCACAGGUUGUUUUUAGGAGUAUAUUACCUCUAAAUAAGAGGCUUUAUUUCUACCAGUAAUACAUCAUACACAAGUUUAAGCAUAACAUACUACACAACUUGAUACAUUCUUAUAUCAUUUUAAACCUUUAGUAGUGGGAUAUAUGUUCACUUAUCUUAAAAAAUAAUCUCUAUUUAGGUGUUUAUUUCCUCAAACUGAGAAGGUGGUGACUAGGUACAGACUAUAACCACAUAAUUAUAAUUCCUUUUUGGACAUUAAUACAGCCCAAAGGCAAUUAUAUUAAUACAAGGAAUUAUGGUAACAGAGACUUUAGUUGUUUUUAACGUUACACAUAGGGUCCCUUAUUUUUUAAAUAACAUUAAUAAAAGUUAUAUUUUAUUUACACUUAUCAUCUCUCCUAAUUAGAGUCCAGGCUGAGAGUGCUAUAGAUGCAGCCUUUUCUUGAGGGGUCUCCAUCACCAGUAUAUAAGAUAUGUAGCAUGUCCUAGCUUAAAUGUGCAGCUAUAGGAUGCAAUUUAACCAGUUCUUUUUCUUUUAGCAAAUGUCUAGUUUAUGCGAAAAAUGCAUAUGUAGCAUGUCCUACCUUAAAUGUGCAGCUAUAGGAUACGCUUUAACCAUUUAAUUGUCUCUUUCAGCAAAUGUCUAGUUUUAGCUCCAAACAGAUAUGUAGCAUGUCCUAGCUUAAAUGUGCAGCUAUAGGAUGCAAUUUAACCAUUUCUUUCUCUUUUAGCAAUGUCUAGUUUAUGCGAUUUUCAUGUACACAAAUGCAUUGUAUCUUAUAAAAAUGUAUUUUAAUAUAAUAUUUUUUUAUAUAUUUGUAAUAUUUGACAUUUUGUUAUGUUAAUUAUUUAUAGGUGAUUUGGGUUACAUGAGCCGGCCUUGGCUGAUUACGCCUAUACGUAACCCAGCUGACAACGCCCAGGUGCGCUAUAAUCGGGCGCAUAAGCGGAGUAGGGAUGUUUGGGCUCCUCAAAAUGCGGUUACGAUGCCUAGACAGGUCUGGAGGAGCCCUCCAAUACAGCCCUAGUAAGGUGGCAAAGAUCGUUAUAGCCUGCAGCGUCCUGCAUAACAUAGCUCAGCAGGCUAGGAUGCUACAGGCCGUCCAGGUGCACUGAGACCUCCUCCAAGAUGAGGAGGAUGACCCAGUUCUAGAGAGGCCAUUCCAGGACGAGGGGCUCAAUGUCAGAGCAAACAUCAUCAACCACAACUUCAGACGGUAAUUUAUACAUCAGAAGAUUCUGGCAUUGGCUCCUGUAAUCACUUUGCCACCUGAUUUUCAAAGACAACAUCAGAAGGGAGAUGACUUCAUCUACAGACAGAAAGUGAAGAAUCCCAGACUGAAAGUGAGGAAUCCCAGACUGAAAGUGAGGAAUCCCAGACUGAAAGUGAAGAAUCCCAAUGUGAUCAUGACUGUGGCAUUGUCUUUCAACUGUGCUGAGUUUGAAAAACAUACAAAGACACGUUCACAUGAUGGUAUUUCACAAUCCUUUAUUUUUUAAAUGAUUAAUAGGACACCUAAUGAAGAUAAACUGAUAUUUUGAAUAGAAUUGCCUUUCAAAGACCAUACAUCCAGAUUUUCAUUUUUUUAUGAAUUCCAAAAUAUUUUUUAAAAUAAAUUUAUUUACAUACUAUA